GACGAACGCUGGCGGCGUGCUUAACACAUGCAAGUCGCACGGGGCUGGGGGCAACUCCAGCUCAGUGGCGGACGGGUGCGUAACACGUAAGCAACAUGUCCAAGGGUGGGGGAUAGCCGGCCCAACGGCCGGGUAAUACCGCAUGCAGUCACCGGCGGCAUCACAGGUGACGAAAGCCGGGGCAACCUGGCGCCCAUGGAGUGGCUUGCGGCCUAUCAGCUAGUUGGGGGGUAAUGGCCCACCAAGGCUACGACGGGUAGCUGGUCUGAGAGGAUGACCAGCCACAUUGGGACUGAGACACGGCCCAGACUCCUACGGGAGGCAGCAGUGGGGAAUCUUGCGCAAUGGGCGAAAGCCUGACGCAGCGACGCCGCGUGAGGGAUGACGGCCU
rnacentral:rRNA from 1 species